ACGACAACAGAUAACUAACACAAAAAAAGCCUUCAGAUCCGGACUGGAACCUAUACCAUCAGCUGUUUGGCUCCAGACAUUCAAACUACACUGCGGGACUUUCCUGGGUCUCCAGUUUGCAAACAGAUAAUGGGACUGUUCACACUACAUAAUCAUUUAAAUAUGCAGACUGUUCAAUGCCAUCCUCCAGACCUACUGAUUCAGAAUCUGAGAUCUGAAGUGCAGGAAUCAGCAUUGUUGAACAAAUCCUUCAAGAACUAAGGUUAAACCAUGACCACUCCUCGAGGCCUUCCCUGGAGAUUCGGGCUCAUAGAUUCCUUCUUUCUCUGAAUUCUAAAGUACUUAUGGAAGAUUCAGCAGAUAAUUUUUAAUGAAUUAAAUUUUAAUACAUCAAAUUACUUAAUAAUAAAAUUUAAUAAAAUUUUCAGUAUUCUCAAAAAAAAAAAAAAA
rnacentral:lncRNA from 1 species